GUGGGGAAUCUUGCGCAAUGGGCGAAAGCCUGACGCAGCCAUGCCGCGUGAAUGAUGAAGGUCUUAGGAUUGUAAAAUUCUUUCACCGGGGACGAUAAUGACGGUACCCGGAGAAGAAGCUCCGGCUAACUUCGUGCCAGCAGCCGCGGUAAUACGAAGGGGGCUAGCGUUGCUCGGAAUUACUGGGCGUAAAGGGCGCGUAGGCGGACAGCUUAGUCAGAGGUGAAAGCCCAGGGCUCAACCUUGGAAUUGCCUUUGAUACUGGCUGUCUUGAGUUUGGGAGAGGUGAGUGGAACUCCGAGUGUAGAGGUGAAAUUCGUAGAUAUUCGGAAGAACACCAGUGGCGAAGGCGACUCACUGGCCCAAUACUGACGCUGAGGCACGAAAGCGUGGGGAGCAAACAGGAUUAGAAACCCCUGUAGUCC
rnacentral:rRNA from 1 species